rnacentral:rRNA from 1 species
UGACCAGGGCUACACACGUGCUACAAUGGCCGGUACAAAGAGUUGCAAUACCGCGAGGUGGAGCUAAUCUCAUAAAGCCGGUCUCAGUUCGGAUUGGAGUCUGCAACUCGACUCCCAUGAAGUUGGAAUCGCUAGUAAUCGCGGAUCAGCACGCCGCGGUGAAUACGUUCCCGGGCCUU